CCAAAGCAAGAACAAAGGAAGAAAAGAAAGAACAAGAAACCUAGGGUGAAAAUUCAAGAGAAAAUUGGUGGAUUUCAAGUAAUCAAGCAAUCAAAGGUAAAAAUUUCUUGCUUUUGACUUGUGAUCUACCUUUCCCAUACAUUCUUUUGCAUUUUCUGUGGUUGAAUCACAUGAUUUCAUGAUGGGUAUCUUGCUGGCUGAACACUUAGAGAGAGGUUUUGAUGCUUGAUUUGGUUAGAUUUUAAGAUAUUUUAGUGUUUUUAGUUGAUUAGUGAUGUGUAGCAUGAAAAUCAAGCAAGAAAAAUUCAUGUUCUUCCAUCACCCAUCAUUGGCCGAAUUCUCCAUGUGGAAUAUUGAGGAUGAUUUUGAUUUUAUUUCAAGUGAUUUGGUUAGGAAUUAGUGAUUUAUGGUGUGAGAAUCAAGUAGGAAAAAUUAUAAUGUUGAUGCACCCACCAUGGUCGAAUUUCCCAAGAGAAAAUGUGAGGAUGAUUUUGUCAUAUUUCAAGUUAUUUAAUUUGCGUUUGAUGAUUUGGAGAAUUGGAAGAAAAAUGGAAUUAUUUGGAGUUAAAUUGGACAUAUUGGCCAAUUAAUCGAGUGAUAGAUCGAAUUAGGCCAAUAUCGUUUUAUUUAGGUACACAAUUGAAUUUGUGUAGAGCACCGUGUUUAGACGAUAAUCCAAACAAUUUACAUCCCAUUUCAUGCAUUAGUAUAGAGCCUUAAUUGGUUUUAUAACAAUUUAGCACAAAUGUAGUAAAUGGCUUAUUGUGCAUUAUGUCUAGGUGGUGAGCAUUCUGGCAAAAGUAAAGAGAUAGUACCCGAGGAUCAAGAAUCGGAGUACUCUGAAUUCGACUCCCGAAAUAGUGAGUAACCUUACUAUCGUCUUAACUAUCUAAAGUGGUUUUUAUCCAAUUUUAUGAUUUUAUGAAAAAUAAGUUUAAAUGGUAAAUCUUUAUGUUUUAUAAACAAAAUGUGUUUAAAUGAAAUGAUUUUAUAAAUUAUCUUGAAAUUGAAUGAUGGCUUUGAAAAUAGAGUAAUUGGAGACCAUUUGAUGAAUUGUGAAUUUAUGGUUCUAAUUGAUUGGCUUAUGGCAAUAUUGGCAUGAAUGGCUGAAUUGGUAUUUGUGCUGAAAAUGUAUAAACUGUUGUUUGCCUUGAUAGGCUGGAUAAUGAUAAAAUUGCCAUGUCAUGCUGUUAAAUUUUAUUGAAUUGGUGGGUUAUUGAUUAGUCGCUGUAGUGAACGGGUUCCGUGGACCAGCCUAUUAGAGGGGGCACGAUAACCCUAUUAUAUUCAUACCUUAGUAUGAGAGGCGUGGAUGGAAAACUCCUAAGGUUAACACUUUAGAGUUCACUUCACGCCAAACCACCACGUGAGGGUGAACUCAGCCAAUGCUAAGGAACAGCUAUGUUUUAAAAAUAAAAACAUGAUUUAUGCGUACAUAACUUUUUAACAGCCUUGACGGACUCAGUUGGGAUAGUCCUCGGCCAAGGUAUCCCUGAUAACUGAGUAUGAGAAUGAUUUUGGCAUGAGCCAAAAUUUUAAGAAAUUCAUAAGCCAUGUUGAUUACUCGAUUUAUAUGAAUUGAUUUUAUUUGGUUGAAAUGAGUUGAAAGGUGAUGAAUUACAGUAUGUUAAACUAUUUUAUCUGUCUCCAUUUACUCAGCUUUAGAUAUUUUAGAUGGUAUUUGUUUACUCACUAGGAUUAUAUAAUCUCACCACCCUCAUUUUCACCCAUUUCAGGCUCAAGAUAGUUGGUAGAUAGCUCAUUUCGUUGAGGGCUAUAGUUGGACUUGCAUCCUAAAAAACUGUAGGUUCAUAGCUUUCAUGACUUUUGGUCGUUCGUGGGCUUACAUGUCACUGUAAAUUAAAUUUUAUACUUUGGUUAUUUGUAUUACAGUAUGCAUG
rnacentral:lncRNA from 1 species